AUGAGGAUCAGCCCCAGUGGCGGGGCCAGCUCUGGAGCCCUGGAGUCAGCUCCGGCAGGAACGCCGUCUGCAGGGCCUGGAGGCUCUGGGGCGGG
rnacentral:pre_miRNA from 1 species